rnacentral:tRNA from 1 species
UACAGUUUAAUGUAUGAUGCAUAAAGAAUUUUGAUUUCUUAAGUCUUAGUUUGAUUCUAAGGGUUGUAU